rnacentral:lncRNA from 1 species
AUUUUUUAUGGCCAUGAUAUAAGUCUGACAAUCUUCAACUCUAGGUUGAACACGGGAACAGUUUAACACAGACACAGUUCUAUGUUAGCUAAUGGCUGAGAAGGGCAGUUUAGGGAGCGAGAGGCUUCUCUGAUGAGAUAACAUGAGAAGUAAGACCUGAAUGAUAAGAAGAAUUGGAGCACAUAAGACACAAUUUAUGUCCCCAGAAUGGCUGGCUUCCAUCUAUUCUCUCACACCUUUGUGUCUUUGCUUGCUCAGUGGCCAGCCCAAGCCACCAUUGCCAUUGCCAGUGCCUCAUAUCCCAACUGUGCCAGUGACCUCAGCCUCUCCCAGUGACUGGAUUCCACUGAGAUUGCAUUAGAAGGAGACUCACAAGUUUGGUGCUCAGGUGCAAUCAGUCUGUAUCCUCAGAGGUUCCUCCAAUCACUGGGGGAUCUGGGUUCCCUAGCAGUUGCCAUAAAGAGCCAGUAACAGAACCUGGAGGUGAGGGUGAAUUAAUUAGUUCUCUAAGGGACAAACUUCAACCAGUUUCAACAGGAGACAAGAAGACAUUGGCAGAGAAUCUCCACUCUCUCCUGUGGACAGAAUGUUUCUGGAUAUAAUGAUGUAGGUCCUGUCUGGAAGAAGUGCUGGUGACCAAGAAAGCAGGUAUGUUGUUUUGUGAUGCUGUAGUCAUUCAUAACUCGCCACCUUGAAUUUACUUUCCCCUCCUUUUCAGCCUUGAUUCUCUUUUUCCUUCAUUCUUGAGUCCUGGAAUUACAACUUCACAUAAAGUCUUGGCUUGUAAGUUUUGCCUCAGGAUCUGUUUUCUAGAAAACUCAGACAAAAACAAACACAAUACAAAAAUAUGAACCAUAGUUCAGGAAUUGUGCUCAGGUUCAUGGAGGUGCUCAGGUUUCUGCCGUAUAUUCACAGGGGCACCGCAGGAUAUAUUAAAAUUUUGAAAGAAACUCAGAGAUACUUGACAUUUGUUAGACACCAUGCAUACUACUGACUCAAUGUAGUUGAUAGUUUCAACACUAGAUUACACUACAUUCUUUCAGUGACAUCAUUAUGUUUGCAAAGCUGGGUUUUGGUGGUUGCAAUUUCAUGUGGUAUUAAGGAGCAAUACCACAUGAAAAUUAGUGUGGAACAGGAAAUGAAGGUGGUGGUGUCUAAUAUGAUCCUAAGAUUUGAGAGGUUGUGUCAUGCCCAUUACUAUCCCAUUGGUAAGUGAUUGUGGCUGCUUACAAAUGAAGUACAAACAUUUUUUCUUUCAAUUUAUGUUUUUUUCAAAUAGCUACUAAUGUUGUCAAGAAGUAAAUGUUUAUUGAAUUGUUAGCAUCUGAAUACUUAAUAAACAUAAGUGUUAGGUUCAUCUUCAUAAAUCUCAGCCUAGAAGUGCCAGGAAAAAUAAUUACUGAGACAUUCAGUAAAGGGUGGUGUGAACUGAGAAAGUCUGGGAACCUCUGAGGUAGAGCUUUACGGGCAGGCAGGAAUAAGCUCAGCAUGUGAUGUGGUUUGGCUCUGUGUCCCCACCCAAAUCUCAUCUCGAACUGGAAUCCCCAUAUGUCGAGGGAGGGACCUGGUGGGAGGUGAUUGGAUCAUGGAGGUGGUUCCCCAUGCUGUUUUCAAGAUAGUGAGUGAGUUCUCACGAGAUCUGAUGGUUUUAUGAGGGGCUCUUCCCCCUUCACUCUCUGCUCUGCCUCUCCUACGACCAAGUGGGGCCUUGUAGGCUUUGACAAGAGAGCUCAGUUAUCAUUUCUGUACAACAUGAUACAUCCUGGAAACUUAAUCCUGGAAACUUCUUUUUCUUUUUUUCCUCAGUGACAACAUUUUCAAAAGCUCUAUUAUCUUUUCCUGGUUUUAUACAUAACUGAGGUCUCCAAUGUGUGCAUAUGCAUGUUUAAAUGUGUCACUUUUUAAAAAAACAUUCUGUGUUAUUUCUGGAAAAUUCCUGAAAUUCCUGAAAACUACAUACAUUUAAAAAUGUUAAAUAUAAUGUUCUCAUUAUUAUCUGGUCUUGCAGUCUUAUCUAGACUUAAAUUUUUUUUCUUCUUUCUUUCAAACUUCACAUUGAAGCCCUUUUAUCAAGCUCGGCAUUUAGGAGACUCAAGGUUGGUAUUUAAGACUAGGAUGACACCUGUUUUAGAUUGAACAGUAAUUAAUAAUAGAAAGGUGAGUUAGGAAGCUCACCAAAUGGGGCAUGGCUUUGGGCCCAGUCAUGGAAAUAUUGUCCAUCUGAGGUCUGAGAUUAUACUUCCAGGUCCAGACACUGGAUGUUUCAAUAUACCCAGAGAUGCUCAUUUUCUUGGUUAUGUACUUAUGUUACUCAAAAUCACAUGCAAUGCAGUUUCAAAGCAGAAUGUCAAUUUAUUUUUGUGAUUAGAAUGCUUUUGACCCAUUUUCAAGGAUUCCACUUUUUAGUGUCAAGGAAACUAAGAAGCAGGAUGAAUAAUUACAAGGUUACUUGGUGAUCGUUGAAAAAUAGAAAGGAAAAUAAAUUGUCUAAGAGAAUGACUAAUAUUUUAAGUAACUUCUCAGGAGAUCACCCCACAACAGAAUUCAUUUGUCUUUUGCUGGAAUUAUUUGUGCUUCCCAAAUGUCGCUCUGUCUUAAGUUAGAGUUAAUGUUCAAUGACUGUUUUUUUAAAAACCCAAUAUUCCUCUGAUUAGCAACCCAUU